rnacentral:tRNA from 1 species
UCCUUGGUUGUUCAGUGGCUAAGACUCUGCACUCCCACUGGAGGGGCCUGGGUUUGAUUCCUGGUCAGGGAA